GACGAACGCUGGCGGCGUGCUUAACACAUGCAAGUCGAACGAUGAAGCUAGAGCUUGCUCUGGUGGAUUAGUGGCGAACGGGUGAGUAACACGUGAGUAACCUGCCCCGAACUCUGGGAUAACUGCUGGAAACGGUAGCUAAUACCGGAUAUGACCAAUGAAGGCAUCUUCUGUUGGUGGAAAGAAUUUCGGUUCGGGAUGGACUCGCGGCCUAUCAGCUUGUUGGUGAGGUAACGGCUCACCAAGGCGACGACGGGUAGCCGGCCUGAGAGGGUGAUCGGCCACACUGGGACUGAGACACGGCCCAGACUCCUACGGGAGGCAGCAGUGGGGAAUAUUGCACAAUGGGCGCAAGCCUGAUGCAGCAACGCUGCGUGAGGGAUGACGGCCUUCGGGUUGUAAACCUCUUUUAGUAGGGAAGUAGCGAAAGUGACGGUACCUGCAGAAAAAGCACCGGCUAACUACGUGCCAGCCGCCGCCGUAA
rnacentral:rRNA from 1 species